UACGUAGGGGGCUAGCGUUGUCCGGAAUCAUUGGGCGUAAAGAGCGUGUAGGCGGUCCGGUAAGUCCGCUGUGAAAGUCGGGGGCUCAACCCUCGGAUGCCGGUGGAUACUGUCGGGCUCGAGUACGGAAGAGGCGAGUGGAAUUCCUGGUGUAGCGGUGAAAUGCGCAGAUAUCAGGAGGAACACCUAUUGCGAAGGCAGCUCGCUGGGACGUUACUGACGCUGAGACGCGAAAGCGUGGGGAGCAAACAGG
rnacentral:rRNA from 1 species